rnacentral:misc_RNA from 1 species
AAGUCGUAACAAGGUAUCCGUAGGUGAACCUGCGGAUGGAUCAUUAACAAUAGUAUAUCUAUACUAACUAACACUUGUGAACUGUAUGGAACUUACCAUUCCAUUUUAUUUUUAUUUUUAUUUUUAUACUGAAUACAUGAUAUAUAACAAUCAUAAAACUUUUAGCAACGGAUCUCUAGGCUUUC